rnacentral:rRNA from 1 species
GAGUACGUGAAACCGUUUAGGGGUAAACCUGAGAAACCCGAAAGGUCGAAGGGAGAAAUUCAUUCGCGUUUCGACGUUGGCGUGAGACGAUCGUGCGACGGAUGGCGUUCGCGUCGUCUGCGCCUUUCGUUUUUCGAUCCGACGUCGAACGCGUGCACUUUUCUCCUGGUAGGACGUCGCGAUCCGUUGGGUGUCGGUCUAAGGCUCGCGGUGGAGCCCGGUCGUUCGGUUCGCCGUUACGAUCGGACCCGUGGUGUCCCGGCCGACCCGCUCGACGGUAUAAGAAAGGCGUGGGGCCGCUUCUCGAAGCGUCCGACCCGUGGCAAGCGCGUUCGGUGUGUUGGCGAUCGGACCUGGUGCCGAUUCUGACCCCGGAUGACUGUUGGCUGCGGCGUUCUCGGACAGACCUCUUUCGCCGAUCUGCGACGCUAUAGCUUUGGGUACUUUCAGGACCCGUCUUGAAACACGGACCAAGGAGUCUAGCAUGUGCGCGAGUCAUUGGGAAUCACAAAACCUAAAGGCGCAAUGAAAGUAAAGGUUCGCUUACUGCGAACCGAGGGAGGAUAGGCGGUUCGCCCUUAAAAGUGGCCGCCUCGCACUCCCGGGGCGUCUCGUUCUCAUUGCGAGAAGAGGCGCACCAAGAGCGUACACGCUGGGACCCGAAAGAUGGUGAACUAUGCCUGGUCAGGACGAAGUCAGGGGAAACCCUGAUGGAGGUCCGUAGCGAUUCUGACGUGCAAAUCGAUCGUCGGAACUGGGUAUAGGGGCGAAAGACUAAUCGAACCAUCUAGUAGCUGGUUCCC